rnacentral:rRNA from 1 species
UAGGGAAUCUUCCACAAUGGACGCAAGUCUGAUGGAGCAACGCCGCGUGAGUGAAGAAGGUUUUCGGAUCGUAAAGCUCUGUUGUUGGUGAAGAAGGAUAGAGGCAGUAACUGGUCUUUAUUUGACGGUAAUCAACCAGAAAGUCACGGCUAACUACGUGCCAGCAGCCGCGGUAAUACGUAGGUGGCAAGCGUUGUCCGGAUUUAUUGGGCGUAAAGCGAGCGCAGGCGGAAUGAUAAGUCUGAUGUGAAAGCCCACGGCUCAACCGUGGAACUGCAUCGGAAACCGUCAUUCUUGAGUGCAGAAGAGGAGAGUGGAAUUUCAUGUGGAGCGGUGGAAUGCGUAGAUAUAUGGAAGAACACCAGUGGCGAAGGCGGCUCUCUGGUCUGCAACUGACGCUGAGGCUCGAAAGCAUGGGUAGCGAACAGG